UGAGAGGUGGUGCAUUGGCCGUCGUCAGUUCGUACUGUGAAGCAUCCUGUUAAGUCAGGCAACGAGCGAGACCCACGCCCACAGUUGCCAGCGUACUCUCCGGAGUGACGGGUACACUGUGGGGACCGCGCUGCUAAAGCGGAGGGAAGGAAUGGGCAACGGUAGGUCAGUAUGCCCCGAAUAUCCCGGGCUACACGCGAGCUACAAUGGGUGGGACAAUGGGUAUCGACACCGAAAGGUGAAGGCAAUCUCCUAAACCCAUCCGUAGUUCGGAUUGUGGGCUGCAACUCGCCCACAUGAAGCUGGAAUCUGUAGUAAUCGUGUCUCAAAAUGGCACGGUGAAUAUGUCCCUGCUCCUU
rnacentral:rRNA from 1 species